rnacentral:rRNA from 1 species
GACGAACGCUGGCGGCGUGCUUAACACAUGCAAGUCGAACGGAAAGGCCCUGCUUUUGUGGGGUGCUCGAGUGGCGAACGGGUGAGUAACACGUGAGUAACCUGCCCCUGACUUUAGGAUAACUUCAGGAAACUGGGGCUAAUACCGGAUAGGAGCUCCUGCUGCUUGGAGUGGGUCGGAACGUUUCGGUGGUUGGGGAUGGACUGGCGGCUUAUCAGCUUGUUGGUGGGGUAGUGGCUUACCAAGGCUUUGACGGGACGCCGGCCUGGGAGGGUGACCGGACAGGUUGGGACUGAGAUACGGCACAGACUCCUACGGGAGGCGGCAGUGGGGAAGAUUGCACAAUGGGCGGAAGCCUGAUGCAGCAACGCCGCGUGCGGGAUGACGGCCUUCGGGUUGUAAACCGCUUUCGCCUGUGACGAAGCGUGAGUGACGGUAAUGGGUAAAGAAGCACCGGCUAACUACGUG